UUCAAUGUCAUUACACACAUAAACAGUGGAAACACACACACACAGAUGAGCUGUAGUUAUCUCCUGUGCACCAUUCUGCUGUUUGUUGCCGUUUUACUGGCCGUGACAGUAACCGGGAUCAUCCUCCUGAUGAACCAUUACCAGGCUCCCAGCGGCCCCGAUGGCCCCCCGCUCAUCAGCACCAAUCAGGACGAGGGAAACGCCCUGGUGACCAUCGAGCGGGGCGAUGGCUCCCGCAUCAACAUCUUCAUCGACCCCAACUGUCCCGACUACAACAAUAACUUCCUGCGUCUGGAGGGGGUUCAGACCUCACUGCUGCACUCACUCACCGACCACGACACUGAUCUGAAAUCAGUGAAAGGCCAGGAUCGGGCUCUGCUGGUUAAACUGGCUGAGGAGGUGGCCAAACUGUCCGCUCACGCCAGCCAGCUGAAGAUGGAGUACAACGCUUUGAGGCAAGGCCAGGGCAACAUCGGGCAGGAGCUAAGCACACUGCAGACGGAACAGGGCAGACUCAUACAGCUACUGUCAGAAAGCCAGAUCAACAUGGUGAAAGUGGUGAACUCGGUGAGUGACGCGCUCAGCUCCAUGCAGAAGGAAAAUGGAAACAUCAAGAGCCGUCUUAAGGCAGAUCUGCAGAGGGCUCCGGUGCGCAGUGUCCGGCCCAAAGGCUGCGCCGCUGGAGAGGGUUCCAGACCCAGAGACUGCAGUGACAUCUAUGCCAGCGGGCAAAGAGAGGAUGGCAUCUACUCGGUGUUCCCCACGCAUUACCCAGCAGGCUUCCAGGUCUUCUGUGACAUGACUACUGAUGGAGGCGGGUGGACGGUGAUUCAACGCAGAGAAGAUGGCUCAGUUAACUUUUUCCGUGACUGGGAAGCCUAUCGUGAAGGAUUUGGCAAGAUAACAGGAGAGCAUUGGCUAGGCAUGAAACGAAUCCAUGCACUUACUAUUCAAGCCAACUACGAGCUGCGGAUUGACCUGGAGGACUUCGAGAACAGCACCUCCUUUGCGCAGUACGGCUCUUUUGGAGUGGGUUUGUUCUCAGUUGACCCAGACGAGGAUGGUUACCCACUGAGCAUCGCUGACUACUCCGGCACCGCAGGCGACUCGCUGCUCAAACACAACGGUAUGAAAUUUACCACCAAGGACAAGGACAACGACCACUCGGAGAAUAACUGCGCGUCCUUCUACCAUGGCGCCUGGUGGUACCGAAACUGCCACACGUCCAACCUGAAUGGACAGUACCUGCGCGGCCAGCACACUUCAUACGCCGACGGCAUCGAGUGGUCGUCCUGGACGGGUUGGCAAUACUCGCUGAAGUUCACCGAGAUGAAGAUCAGACCGACCAAGGAGGAGAAUAAAUGA
ensembl:processed_transcript